GCACCAAUGGUUUAGUGGUAAAAUCUGCGCUUCCCACUUCUAGCUUAGCGUCUAGUUGAGCCUGCGCAGGCCACGGGUUCGAUUCCCGUUUGGUGCA
rfam:Sclerotinia sclerotiorum 1980 scaffold_1 genomic scaffold, whole genome shotgun sequence.